AGAGGUUUUAUCUAUUUCAAAAAUUUGGGUGAUGCAACUUCUGAAUUAGUUAUUACAAAACAAAUGCCUAUGGCAUUCCAAGAAUCAUGCUGGAUUCUAUGUAGGCAAAGAUAUUUAAGACAGCCCAACACAUAAAAAAAUUGAAGGCAAUGUUAAAAGAAAAAAGAACUUUUUCUGAACAAAAUGUUUCAUUUUACCACCAUCAAGGCCAAAGUAUAUUUUAGUUCAAUGUACAACUAGCUGAACAAUAUAACAACCUGGCACAAAAAGUCUUGGAUGCCGUCUUUUACACUCCCUUUCAAACUUAAGAACUACCAGUACGUCAUAUAUUAUCUCUGCCUUACUGACUCAGAAUUCCCUGAAAUGGAUGGAAUCUGCAUUACAAGUUUCCCAGGCUUACACCAGCUGUUGUAUGGAAAACAGAAUGAAAAGAGGCAAGGGAUAAAGUUUUAAGACCAGUUAGCAGGUGAAUCAAAAAUUUAAAAUCAAGAAGUAUCAAAAGCUACAUACAAAAAGGCCAA